UACGGAGGGUGCGAGCGUUGUCCGGAAUCACUGGGCGUAAAGGGCGCGUAGGUGGCUCGUUAAGUGGCUGGUGAAAUCCCGGGGCUCAACUCCGGGGCUGCCGGUCAUACUGGCGAGCUGGAGCACGGUAGAGGCAGAUGGAAUUCCCGGUGUAGCGGUGGAAUGCGUAGAGAUCGGGAAGAAUACCGGUGGCGAAGGCGGUUCUCUGGGCAUUACCUGACGCUGAGGAGCGAAAGUGUGGGGAGCGAACAGG
rnacentral:rRNA from 1 species